AUUGAACGCUGGCGGUAUGCUUAAGACAUGCAAGUCGAACGGUAACAGACCUUCGGGUGCUGACGAGUGGCGGACGGGUGAGUAACACGUGGGAAUCUACCUUGUAGUGGGGGAUAAGCCAGGGAAACUUGGACUAAUACCGCAUACGCCCUAAGGGGGAAAGGAGCAAUUCGCUAUAAGAUGAGCCCGCGUCUGAUUAGCUAGUUGGUGAGGUAAAGGCUCACCAAGGCGACGAUCAGUAGCUGGUCUGAGAGGGUGACCAGCCACAUUGGGACUGAGACACGGCCCAGACUCCUACGGGAGGCAGCAGUCGGGAAUAUUGGACAAUGGGGGCAACCCUGAUCCAGCAAUACCGCGUGUGUGAAGAAGGCCCUCGGGUUGUAAAGCUCUUUUGUCCGGAAAGAAAAGCAAUCGGUUAAUACCCGGUUGUUCUGACGGUACCGGAAGAAUAAGCACCGGCUAACUUCGUG
rnacentral:rRNA from 1 species